GUGCUGCGCAGGAUCCGGACCAGUCGCAGCUGCUGAGAGUCUCCGAACUGAGGGAGCGACGAGAGACAGAGCGGCAUCAAGCAAAACACUGAGGAUAAAAACACACACGGCACACUUUACCUGAUUCCCCAGGAAGAACUAAUCCGAGGAGAAGCGAUGCAAAACAAAACACAAAAACAAGGAGAAGAAGAACAACAACAAGUGUGAAAGAACAUUGAGGAGGAGGAGGAGGAGCAGUAACUCUACACACUGAGACUGAGACACUGAGACUGAGACACCGAGACGCCGAGACGCUGAGACGCCGCACCGUGAAGCACAGCACACAGCAGCAUCACAGCAACGUCGGAGCAGGGAAGGGCAUAACACAACACUAUCUCAUUACAUUAUAUAUAGAUAUGUGUGUCAGUGUGUGCGUGUGUGUGUCACAGUGUGUGUGUGCGUGUGUCAGUGUGUGCGUGUGUCAGUGUGUGCGUGUGUCAGUGUGUGCGUGUGUGUGUCAGUGAGUCACAGUGUGUGUGUGUCAGUGUGUGCAUGUGUCAGUGUGCGUGUGUGUGCGUGUGUCAGUGUGUGGUCUCUAGAAACACACUGUUCUUGGUUUACAUCAAUUAUUCAAUGUUACAAGAAACUUAAUAAAAUGACAAACGUUUCUGCUAGAA